rnacentral:rRNA from 1 species
UACGUAGGGUGCAAGCGUUAAUCGGAAUUACUGGGCGUAAAGCGUGCGCAGGCGGUGAUGUAAGACAGUUGUGAAAUCCCCCGGGCUCAACCUGGGAACUGCAUCUGUGACUGCAUCGCUGGAGUACGGUAGAGGGGGAUGGAAUUCCGCGUGUAGCAGUGAAAUGCGUAGAUAUGCGGAGGAACACCGAUGGCGAAGGCAAUCCCCUGGACCUGUACUGACGCUCAUGCACCGAAAGCGUGGGGAGCAAACGAGG